ensembl:lncRNA
GGCAUAUAAAACAUUUCAAAACACUACAUUGUCACAGUCACUGCUUAAAUGUGGAUUUCUCUUAAACAACAGAAAAUGCUGGCUCACUGAAGGUGCUGUUUGGAACUCCAGAGUUUGUAGCUCCAGAGGUGAUCAACUAUGAAGCGAUCAGCUAUACUACAGACAUGUGGAGUAUCGGUGUCAUCUGCUACAUACUUGUGAGUGGAUUAUCUCCAUUCAUGGGGGAUAAUGAAAAUGAGACGCUCUCCAAUGUCACAUCAGCAACGUGGGAUUUGAAGACGAGGCAUUUGAUGAAAUUUCAGAUGAGGCUAAGGACUUCAUCAGCAAUCUACUGAAGAAAGACAUGAAGUAGACGCCCUCUCACUGUUGCGUUAUUUUAAUGGUGUAGCCUCUCUCUAAACACUAGAUAUUCAUGUACUAUAUGAAAUGCAGAAACCAAGAGGUGCCAGAAUUGUAUUUGUUUCAUUAUGGAGCAAUGCUUAAAUCUGCAUUUCUAUCAUUUUAAAAAUAAUUAAAUUCAUCGGAGGAAAUGGCACAAAAGCAAUGAAUAUAUUCACACAAAGUGGGGGCUACACAUAUGUUUAUCAUUUAUUCUCCCUCAAUCACAUCAGACAUACAGAGCCAUGCCACUUCAGUACAUUGGUUUGGGCAGCUUUAUGUUUCAAAUAUUUUUUUCAGCUGUAAAUAUAAUCAGUUUUUCCCUGUGUCUAACAUAAGUAUUCACUUUGCAUCCAUAAUAUAUACAGUAUGGACAUCUGCUGUACAUUUCACAUUGUAGCAGGGAUUUUAAUUACUCGGGCACAUUUUCUGUUACUAAGUCUGACAUGUUUUUAAUCCAGACGGUAGAGAGGGGUUGAUUAUCUUUCUUAGCGAAUGUGUUAAAGUCCCUGAUAAGACCUAAAUGAGGUUACUUACUCAGUUACUUUUACAUUCCUCUAAGUGAUAAUCUCAUUAUUGGGUGCUGUUUGAUUGUCUUUUACAGGUUACCGUAAUUCAUUCAGGGUACAAGUAUGUGCUGUAUUUAAGCUUAAGAUUGGCUUUAGAGAGUAACUCAGUGAUAAACCUUUCAGUCAUUGCAGAUCAGUUUAAAAGUCAAGAGGUGAAAUAAGUGGUUUCUGUAUGAAACUGAUUAACGAUGUUUUACUUAGGGCUCGUCUCACCUGUGAGCAGUGUUUUCAGCACCCCUGGCUUAAACAGGACACCAAGAACAUGGAAGCCAAGAAGCUCUCCAAGGAAAGGAUGAAGAAAUACAUCCUGAGGAGGAGAUGGCAGGUGAGCUGAGGCAAUGUACAACUCAAGUACCGGUUAUUGUGCAACUUUAAGAUUAGUAUUGGAGUCAAUGAUUUCACAGUGCUGGGGUGCAGGCACAUGGUAAAUAAUAAAUAGUCUGCACUUAUAUAUGCUUUUAUCCAAAGCCUUUUCACUGUGACUCAUUCACACACGCACUCGCACACCAAUGGAAAUAGAGCUGCCAUACAAGGCGCUAACUUGCCAUCAGGAGCAACUUUGGGUUCGGUGUCUUGCCCAAGGACAUGUGGAGUCACGUGGGCCGGGAAUCGAACCGUCAACCCUACGAUUAGUGAACAACCCGCUGUACCACCUGAGCCACAGCCGCGUAUGACCGUUUAUACCUCAAGUUACAAACGAACAAGCAAAAAACAUCAUUUUAUUCUGAAGUGCAGUUGGUGCAAAUCUUUGGAUAUGCAACUGAUAAAGAAAGUUCAUUAUUACUGUAGAUGUACUGUUGUACUGUACAGUACAGGAUGCAUCUAUGACACAUGCAAAUAUUUAAGUUAAUGUCCAUAUUGAAAUAUUUUUCUGAAGCAG